ACGGAGGAUCCAAGCGUUAUCCGGAAUCAUUGGGUUUAAAGGGUCCGUAGGCGGCCCUGUAAGUCAGUGGUGAAAUCUCCCGGCUCAACCGGGAAAUUGCCAUUGAUACUGCAGGGCUUGAAUUACUGGGAAGUAACUAGAAUAUGUAGUGUAGCGGUGAAAUGCUUAGAGAUUACAUGGAAUACCAAUUGCGAAGGCAGGUUACUACCAGUGGAUUGACGCUGAUGGACGAAAGCGUGGGUAGCGAACAGGA
rnacentral:rRNA from 1 species